UUNCACGUGUAGCAGUGAAAUGCGUAGAGAUGUGGAGGAAUACCGAUGGCGAAGGCAGCCUCCUGGGAUAACACUGACGUUCAUGCCCGAAAGCGUGGGUAGCAAACAGGAUUAGAUACCCUGGUAGUCCACGCCCUAAACGAUGUCGAUUAGCUGUUGGGCAGCAUGACUGCUUAGUAGCGAAGCUAACGCGUGAAAUCGACCGCCUGGGGAGUACGGUCGCAAGAUUAAAACUCAAAGGAAUUGACGGGGACCCGCACAAGCGGUGGAUGAUGUGGAUUAAUUCGAUGCAACGCGAAGAACCUUACCUGGUCUUGACAUGUACGGAAUCCUCCAGAGACGGAGGAGUGCCUUCGGGAGCCGUAACACAGGUGCUGCAUGGCUGUCGUCAGCUCGUGUCGUGAGAUGUUGGGUUAAGUCCCGCAACGAGCGCAACCCUUGUCAUUAGUUGCCAUCAUUAAGUUGGGCACUCUAAUGAGACUGCCGGUGACAAGCCGGAGGAAGGUGGGGAUGACGUCAAGUCCUCAUGGCCCUUAUGACCAGGGCUUCACACGUCAUACAAUGGUCGGUACAGAGGGUAGCCAAGCCGCGAGGCGGAGCCAAUCUCACAAAACCGAUCGUAGUCCGGAUUGCACUCUGCAACUCGAGUGCAUGAAGUCGGAAUCGCUAGUAAUCGCAGGUCAGCAUACUGCGGUGAAUACGUUCCCGGGUCUUGUACACACCG
rnacentral:rRNA from 1 species